rnacentral:rRNA from 1 species
CCGUAACUAUAACGGUCCUAAGGUAGCGAAAUUCCUUGUCGGGUAAGUUCCGACCUGCACGAAUGGCGUAAUGAUGGCCAGGCUGUCUCCACCCGAGACUCAGUGAAAUUGAACUCGCUGUGAAGAUGCAGUGUACCCGCGGCAAGACGGAAAGACCCCGUGAACCUUUACUAUAGCUUGACACUGAACAUUGAGCCUUGAUGUGUAGGAUAGGUGGGAGGCUUUGAAGUGUGGACGCCAGUCUGCAUGGAGCCGACCUUGAAAUACCACCCUUUAAUGUUUGAUGUUCUAACGUGGACCCGUUACCCGGGUUGCGGACAGUGUCUGGUGGGUAGUUUGACUGGGGCGGUCUCCUCCUAAAGAGUAACGGAGGAGCACGAAGGUUGGCUAAUCCUGGUCGGACAUCAGGAGGUUAGUGCAAUGGCAUAAGCCAGCUUGACUGCGAGCGUGACGGCGCGAGCAGGUGCGAAAGCAGGUCAUAGUGAUCCGGUGGUUCUGAAUGGAAGGGCCAUCGCUCAACGGAUAAAAGGUACUCCGGGGAUAACAGGCUGAUACCGCCCAAGAGUUCAUAUCGACGGCGGUGUUUGGCACCUCGAUGUCGGCUCAUCACAUCCUGGGGCUGAAGUAGGUCCCAAGGGUAUGGCUGUUCGCCAUUUAAAGUGGUACGCGAGCUGGGUUUAGAACGUCGUGAGACAGUUCGGUCCCUAUCUGCCGUGGGCGCUGGAGAACUGAGGGGGGCUGCUCCUAGUACGAGAGGACCGGAGUGGACGCAUCACUGGUGUUCGGGUUGUCAUGCCAAUGGCACUGCCCGGUAGCUAAAUGCGGAAGAGAUAAGUGCUGAAAGCAUCUAAGCACGAAACUUGCCCCGAGAUGAGUUCUCC